UACGAAAGGGGCUAGCGAUGUUCGGAAUAACUGGGCGUAAAGCGCGCGUAGGCGGCUUAUCAAGUCAGAGGUGAAAUCCCCAGGCUCAACCUGGGAAUUGCCUUUGAAACUGCUAGGCUAGAGUGUCGGAGGGGAUGGCGGAAUUGCUAAUGUAGAGGUGAAAUUCGUAGAUAUUAGCAGGAACACCGGUGGCGAAGGCGGCCAUCUGGACGACAACUGACGCUGAGGCGAGAAAGCGUGGGGAUCAAACAGG
rnacentral:rRNA from 1 species